AAUAAGAGGUGGGAGGCAGCCUCACAAGUUAGCAAUGCAGGGAAUGUUACAAGGAGUUAGCUUCAGUAUGAAAAAAACAUUUGUUUAGAGGCAUGGGAUAGAAUCACUGAAAUGCUGAGACAACUGUUCCUUCUCCUCCCUUGAGCUAAGACCCUGAAAGCUGAACCAGUACCAUCUCCUUGGAGCACCUUCUGAGGGUCCCUCUAGCCUACAAAGUGUAGUCAAGUGGAAUUUGUGCGCUUUCCUGAUUCAGGCCCAAUCCAGUCUUCCUAUGCCAGCCACAGAGCAGUCCCAUACUCCCUUCUGCUCAAUCCUACCCUGCCUCUUCUGCCUAGCAGCUGUGUCUCAUAAGAUGUUAAUACUGCAGAUGUCCUGAGAAGUAUGUGUCUUCCAUGGUCAAGCUGUCACCUAGGCUGGAGUGCAGUGAUGUGAUUAUGGCCCACUGAAGCCUCAAUCUCCAAGACUCAAGUGAUCCUCCUGCCUCAGCCCCUCUCCAAGUAGCUGGGACUACAGGUUCAAAUCACCAUGCCUGGCUAAUUUUUUUUUUUUUUUUUGGGGGUGGGAUUUCAUUAUAUUGCCCAGACUGGUCUCAAACUCAUGGGCUUAAGUGAUCCUCCUGCCUCAGGCUUCCAAAGUAUUGGAACUACAGAAGCGUACAGGUAGCAGACCAGCAAGUUAACUACAUAAUCACAUCUCUCAGUAGAACGUGACUACCAUUCCUGCAAGAACCUUAAACAAACACUUAUCACCAUCAAGAUGCCUAUUCUGGCAGAAGCCCAUUCCUCCAUCUGCAUGGAUGAUCAGAACAGAAAACAAUCCGGGAAUAUGUUGCUGUUUAGAAUUGUGGAGCAUCAAAAGCCAAUGCAGAAGAUACAGAAGGAGCAGCCAGGAAGAAAAUCAGGACAGUGGUGUUUCACAGAAACCUAGAGAGAAGAGAAUUUCACAGAAAAAUUAGCAGAGCAUGCCAACUACUGAUACUGAUUAGGGAAAUUUAGAAAUGUCAAAAAUCUUCUAACUCAGCCAUGAAGAGAUCACUGCUGAUUUUCUGUCAGGGAAAAACCCCAA
rnacentral:lncRNA from 10 species